rnacentral:rRNA from 1 species
AAUGAACGUUGGCGGCGUGGAUUAGGCAUGCAAGUCGAGCGCGAUGAGUUUGGUAGCUUGCUAUUGAACUCGGAAAGCGGCGAAAGGGAGAGUAACGCGUAGUUACGUGCCCCAGGGUUCGGAAUAGCCACGGGAAACUGUGGGUAAUGCCGAAUAACAUCUCCGGAUCAAAGGUGUGAUUCCGCCCUGGGAGCGGACUGCGUCCUACUAGCUAGUUGGCGGGGUAAUGGCCCACCAAGGCAACAAUGGGUAGCGGGUGGGAGAGCAUGACCCGUCUCACUGGGACUGAGACACUGCCCAGACACCUACGGGUGGCUGCAGUCGAGAAUCUUCGGCAAUGGGCGAAAGCCUGACCGAGCGACGCCGCGUGCGGGAUGAAGGCCCUCGGGUUGUAAACCGCUGUCGUAGGGGAGGAAGGCUCUGUGAAGAACAGGGUUUGACCUAUCCUAGGAGGAAGUACGGGCUAAGUUCGUGCCAGCCGCCGCCGUAA